ACCCGACACAUCGCUUCAUGUUCCGAUCGCGUCCUGUCAGCCUGAUUUUAGCCAUACUUGUAUCGAAGUCGCUGGUUUUAUCAUUAUCUCAGUAUAUUAAUAUAAUCAUAUUUCUGGAGCGUUUUUUUAUAUUUCUUGUUGAAAUUUCUGUGUUCUGUCUUUUUUUUGUCUCUUAGCUAGCUAGCUAUUAACACGCUAACUAGUAAGGUGGCUAGCAAUUAGCCAAAGCACCCCUCCCUUACCAACCAUGGCACUGUUUUACUCAAGCCGCUUGCAAGAGCUGGGAAAAGGAUGUACAUCGUCUGACCAAGACAAGUAGCAAAGCACCGACCUCCAAGUUGGAAAAAUGAUUCACACUUUGUCUCCAGUUAACUUUUCAACUAUGAAGGUUGUACUGAAGCCCUCUGAGCCAGUAACAAUGACACAUCACUGUUCAUGUGUUGCUGGCAUUGCAUUAUGCAACCACACAGUUGCAUUAAUAUUCCAAGAUGGGAACACCAGUCGUCCCACCUGUGCACAGCUGCACAGAGGCCGAGCAGCAGUGGCAUAAGCCAAGGACUAUGUUAUGUUUUAAUAGCUGUACCACAUAUCAACAUCAUAUGGUUAUAAUCACAUCAUAAUGCUAAUAAAUUAUUUAAUGAAAAUUGUCUCAUGAUUAGAUUUAGAAUGGUGCCCUUGUACUGUCUUUUUACAGGUUCUGCCCAUAGGCAAAAUGUCCAUCAUCAAGCCCACCAAAAAGCGCAUGGCAGAAGGAGCGAUUAGGUGGUUUCAAGUACAUUGUUUAGAUUGGCUAACCACAGCGGCUGCUUUGCAGAAGUACACUCUACAGCGCCCUUCUUGGACCGCUCCCUGACCUCUCAGUUCUCCAGAUAGAAGAGGCAUACAAGAACUUUGACCCUCUAUCCAAGCCAUUGAUCUGCAGCAUGGGGAUGUCUGUUGAAAAGCUUUUAGUCUACUCCCACUUCGGAAAGGUACAGGUGGGGAGCCUCCUGUCUUACCAGCAGCCUCCAAUCACAACGUGACCAUAGUUCACCAUAAGGAAACACCACCAUUUCCUUCACUGCCCCUGGAUGGCUACAGACUGGAGAGCAACUUUCAAGGCUGCACAUUUGUGCUCAGUGAAGAAGACCAGCUUCACAUAGUCUCUUCAGGUGAGAGAAGACAUAGAGACCCAGUGGUGUUCUCACUAAUUAGAGAGAAGGGUGACUGGUACUACUUAUGUGUACAUGCAAAAGUUCUUAGGCAGGAAAGACUAAAUAACAAGGGACAGGCUCCUUUAUCUUUCAAUUAAUGAAAGAGAAACAAACCAACAUCUGCCUGUGCAAUUAAUUAAUCAUUUUAAAUAAUUCAGUUACAUUUUUCUGUUCUCUUGUCAAUGUAAAUAAAAACGUACAUUUUG